AUUGAACGCUGGCGGCGGGCCUAACACAUGCAAGUCGAGCGGAUGAAGGGAGCUUGCUCCUGGAUUCAGCGGCGGACGGGUGAGUAAUGCCUAGGAAUCUGCCUGGUAGUGGGGGAUAACGUCCGGAAACGGGCGCUAAUACCGCAUACGUCCUGAGGGAGAAAGUGGGGGAUCUUCGGACCUCACGCUAUCAGAUGAGCCUAGGUCGGAUUAGCUAGUUGGUGGGGUAAAGGCCUACCAAGGCGACGAUCCGUAACUGGUCUGGGAGGAUGAUCAGUCACACUGGAACUGAGACACGGUCCAGACUCCUACGGGAGGCAGCAGUGGGGAAUAUUGGACAAUGGGCGAAAGCCUGAUCCAGCCAUGCCGCGUGUGUGAAGAAGGUCUUCGGAUUGUAAAGCACUUUAAGUUGGGAGGAAGGGCAGUAAGUUAAUACCUUGCUGUUUUGACGUUACCAACAGAAUAAGCACCGGCUAACUUCGUG
rnacentral:rRNA from 1 species